GACGAACGCUGGCGGCGUGCCUAAUACAUGCAAGUAGAACGCUGAAGGAGGAGCUUGCUUCUCUGGAUGAGUUGCGAACGGGUGAGUAACGCGUAGGUAACCUGCCUGGUAGCGGGGGAUAACUAUUGGAAACGAUAGCUAAUACCGCAUAAUAGUAGAUGUCGCAUGACAUUUGCUUAAAAGGUGCAAUUGCAUCACUACCAGAUGGACCUGCGUUGUAUUAGCUAGUUGGUGAGGUAACGGCUCACCAAGGCAACGAUACAUAGCCGACCUGAGAGGGUGAUCGGCCACACUGGGACUGAGACACGGCCCAGACUCCUACGGGAGGCAGCAGUAGGGAAUCUUCGGCAAUGGACGGAAGUCUGACCGAGCAACGCCGCGUGAGUGAAGAAGGUUUUCGGAUCGUAAAGCUCUGUUGUAAGAGAAGAACGAGUGUGAGAGUGGAAAGUUCACACUGUGACGGUAUCUUACCAGAAAGGGACGGCUAACUACG
rnacentral:rRNA from 1 species